AGAGUUUGAUCCUGGCUCAGGACGAACGCUGGCGGCGUGCCUCAAACAUGCAAGUCGAGCGUGGGUGGGCUGCCUCGCAAGAGGUGGCUCACUCUAGCGGCGAACGGGUGCGUAACACGUGGGAAACCAACCCUCCAGAUGGGGACAACCUCGGGAAACCGGGGCUAAUACCGAAUGCGCUCGCCGGGUCGCAUGGCCUGGUGAGGAAAGGGUCGUAAGAUCGCUGGAGGACGGUCCCGCGGCCUAUCAGCUUGUUGGCGGGGUAACGGCCCACCAAGACGAUGACGGGUAGCUGGCCUGAGAGGGUGGUCAGCCACACUGGAACUGAGAUACGGUCCAGACUCCUACGGGAGGCAGCAGUUGGGAAUCUUGGGCAAUGGGCGCAAGCCUGACCCAGCGACGCCGCGUGGGGGAUGAAGGCCUUCGGGUUGUAAACCCCUGUCAGGAGGGAAGAAGCCGCAAGGUGACGGUACCUCCAGAGGAAGCCCCGGCUAACUACGUGCCAGCAGCCGCGGUAAGACGUAGGGGGCGAGCGUUGUCCGGAAUUACUGGGCGUAAAGCGCGUGCAGGCGGCUUGGUCAGUCCCGUGUGAAAGCCUACGGCUCAACUGUAGGAGGUCGCGGGAUACUGCCGGGCUCGAGGGCAGGAGAGGGAAGUAGAAUUCCCGGUGUAGCGGUGAAAUGCGUAGAUAUCGGGAGGAAUGCCAGUGGCGAAGGCGGCUUCCUGGCCUGCCCCUGACGCUGAGACGCGAAAGCUGGGGGAGCGAACGGGAUUAGAUACCCCGGUAGUCCCAGCCGUAAACGAUGGUCACUAGGUGUUGGGGGGUAAUCCCUCAGUGCCGAAGCUAACGCAUUAAGUGACCCGCCUGGGGAGUACGGCCGCAGGUUGAAACUCAAGGAAUUGACGG
rnacentral:rRNA from 1 species